AAGACUAUAAUUUCAGGGAUAAUUUCUAUAGUUUUUAACUAGGCAAUAUAAUUUGAAGGUGUUGUGUCUCUAUAAUUGCAAUGAUGAGGUUUGAUGUGAUCUUCUGAGUAUGAAUCAGAUUGAAGCUGUUGUUUCUUUUGAUUGCUUUAAUCCUCGAUGAAGGUUCUUCCCUUUUUAGGAAGUGUAAGGGGAUGAGUACAUGAUCAGAGUGAU